rnacentral:rRNA from 1 species
GUACACUCCUGCGGGAGGCAGCAGUGGGGAAUUUUGGACAAUGGGCGAAAGCCUGAUCCAGCAAUGCCGCGUGCAGGAUGAAGGCCUUCGGGUUGUAAACUGCUUUUGUACGGAACGAAAAAGCUCCUUCUAAUACAGGGGGCCCAUGACGGUACCGUAAGAAUAAGCACCGGCUAACUACGUGCCAGCAGCCGCGGUAAUACGUAGGGUGCGAGCGUUAAUCGGAAUUACUGGGCGUAAAGCGUGCGCAGGCGGUUAUGUAAGACAGAUGUGAAAUCCCCGGGCUCAACCUGGGAACUGCAUUUGUGACUGCAUGGCUAGAGUACAGUAGAGGGGGAUGGAAUUCCGCGUGUAGCAGUGAAAUGCGUAGAUAUGCGGAGGAACACCGAUGGCGAAGGCAAUCCCCUGGACCUGUACUGACGCUCAUGCACGAAAGCGUGGGGAGCAAACAGGAUUAGAUACCCCAGUAGUCCC